rnacentral:rRNA from 1 species
UACGUAGGGACCAAGCGUUGUCCGGAAUUAUUGGGCGUAAAGAGCUCGUAGGCGGUUUGUCGCGUCUGCUGUGAAAACCCGAGGCUCAACCUCGGGCCUGCAGUGGGUACGGGCAGACUAGAGUGCGGUAGGGGAGAUUGGAAUUCCUGGUGUAGCGGUGAAAUGCGCAGAUAUCAGGAGGAACACCGGUGGCGAAGGCGGGUCUCUGGGCCACACCUGACGCUGAGACGCGAAAGCUAGGGGAGCGAACAGG